UACGGGGGGGGCAAGCGUUGUUCGGAAUUACUGGGCGUAAAGGGCGCGUAGGCGGUCAGCACAAGUCAGUUGUGAAAUCUCCGAGCUUAACUCGGAAAGGUCAACUGAUACUGUGCGACUAGAGUGCAGAAGGGGCAACUGGAAUUCUCGGUGUAGCGGUGAAAUGCGUAGAUAUCGAGAGGAACACCUGCGGCGAAGGCGGGUUGCUGGGCUGACACUGACGCUGAGGCGCGAAAGCUAGGGGAGCGAACGGG
rnacentral:rRNA from 1 species